ensembl:lncRNA
CGACUGGAGUCUACGCGAAAUGGACAAUGUGCGAUGAGCUCCCACUCCAUGAAAUGACAUACACAGUAGCCAUAGCCCGGUGCUAAAUCUGAUGUCCACACAUACCCGCGUUACAAGGAGGCUAGGUUACAUUAGAAGUCAAGCUACAACCAAUUUCAAGAUCCAUUUGAAAGGACAAUGAAACAUAAUCUAAUAGCCUAGCCAGGUGAGAUGCCGUGGUAUCGUCCAAGACAAGAAACAAUUGCCAACGUUUUAGGUGCUGUAUGAAAUAUGCAUUUUGGCUAUGGUCGACGAGCAAUUCACCUUUCAGAGGGGCUUGUGUGAGUGUGUGUGUGUGUGUGUGUGUAGCCUACUGCAUCCUCGACAGACAGGCAGUGACACUAGUGAUGCGGACCACAGCCGACCGCAUAAUGGAACAUCUUCACUGGUCCAUGGCGUGGUGAACGCGGGUAUUUUCCUGGUUGUUUGUCGCCACCUGCUGGUCUGAAAGCGCCAGAGCAAGGCGCACCAAUUUGGAAGAGACACAGUGGAUGGCAUUCAAAGAGUUGGUCUGACGAGGAUUUGUGAUGUCAUCUGCUCAGCCUCCAACCGCAAGGCACUUCAGAGGGUAGUGCGUACGGCCCAGUACAUCACUGGGGCAAAGCUUCCUGCCAUCCAGCACCUCUAUAUCAGGCCGUGUGAGAGGAAGACCCUAAAAAUGGUCAAAGACUCCAGCCACCCUAGUCAUAGACUGUUCUCUCUGCUACCACACGGCAAGCUGUACCGGAGCGCCAAGUCUAGGUCCAAGAGGCUUCUAAACAGCUUCUACCCCCAAGCCAUAAGACUCCUGAACAUCAA